GAAAUGCGAUAAGUAAUGUGAAUUGCAGAAUUCAGUGAAUCAUCGAAUCUUUGAACGCACAUUGCGCCCGGCAGCAAUCUGCCGGGCAUGCCUGUCCGAGCGUCAUUUCUGCCCUGAAAUGAAGUGGCGGUCCCGCCGCGGCGCCCCCUGCGUAGUAGUAAAGCACCUCGCAUCGGGUCCCGGCGGAGGCCAGCCGUCGAACCUCUCUUUUGAUGGUUUGACCUCGGAUCAGGUAGGGUUACCCGCUGAACUUAA
rnacentral:misc_RNA from 1 species